UACGGGGGGAGCAAGCGUUGUUCGGAUUUACUGGGCGUAAAGGGCUCGUAGGCGGCCAACUAAGUCAGACGUGAAAUCCCUCGGCUUAACCGGGGAACUGCGUCUGAUACUGGAUGGCUUGAGAUUGGGAGAGGGAUGCGGAAUUCCAGGUGUAUCGGUGAAAUGCGUAGAUAUCUGGAGGAACACCGGUGGCGAAGGCGGCGUCCUGGACCAAUACUGACACUGAGUGAGCGAAAGCCAGGGGAGCAAACGGG
rnacentral:rRNA from 1 species